rnacentral:rRNA from 1 species
GGUUAAGCUACUAAGAGCGUAUGGGGGAUGCCUAGGCGUUAAGAGCCGAUGAAGGACGUGUAGCGCUGCGAUAAGCUACGGGGAGCUGCGCUAGAGCUUCGAUCCGUAGAUUUCCGAAUGGGGAAACCCGGCCUGGGGAAUGCCAGGUCAGCCCAUGAUGAACACAUAGUCAUGGAGCGGGGAACCCGGGGAACUGAAACAUCUAAGUACCCGGAGGAAGAGAAAUGAUUCCGUUAGUAGUGGCGAGCGAAAGCGGAAAAGCCCAAACCGUCAUGGCUUCGGCUGUGGCGGGGUUGUAGGACCAACAGAACGACGUCAAACGAUAGCAGAACGGCACUGGAAAGGCCGACCGAAGAGGGUGAAAGUCCCGUAUGCGAACUUGUUUGAUUUCCGGUUGGUAUCCUGAGUACUGCGGGGCACGCUAACCCUGUAGGAAACUGGGGGGCCC